rnacentral:sRNA from 1 species
CAAUAGCCCAGAUUGCAACGAAAAUCCUUUUGUUUUUUUCUUUAAAAAAUAAAAGAUUGUAGUGAAAAGCUGGAAAUAGC